UAUUAAUAAGACUGUGGAAUGAACAGUGUUUGUGUACGUGGUUUGUUACAAUUUUCCCUUGAAACACGUGUCCUCAUGUUUACACCUUACUUCUAAACGGUUUUACUUCAGAUGAGAGAGAACCGGAAGAGAGAAAAGGGAGAGAAGAGAGAGGGGCGGUGACCGGAGGGCCACUGUCGUCGCACCACCACCACGGUCACCAUCUCCGAUUUCUUUUUAGGGGUUUUUUCCUCAGAAAAUAGAGAAAGGAAAGAGGGAAGGAGAAGAUGGAGGGUGGAGGGUCACCACUGUUACACCACCACCACGGUUACCAUCUGGUGUCUCUGUUUUGUGGGGGGUGACCUCCAUACGAACCUGGGCUCUCUCGACUGUCGGGAAAUGAACAGCGUUUAUCUUCGUGGUUUGUUCCGAUUGACUUAUUUAGGCAGUCAUCUCCCCUGUGUCUUCCUGCUUUGGUCAUUGGAAACGAUGCCACUGAGACGACGAUUGGUUUCUUAGGGUUUUGCUUUGGCAUCGUCUUUUGUCUGCUGUUGGUUCCUAUGCCUUCAUUGGUUAGGUUUUUUGUCUUGGCUUCAAGGAUUUGACUAAAAAUUGAUGAGCAUGUAGCCUUGGCGUGACCAGGAUGAUGGAUGCACUUCUUUGGGGGAGCAAUGGGUGUCUUCACAACGCAAGCACUUCUACACUCUGUUAAAAGCCAAGCUAUGCCAUGUGUUGGUUAAGCAAGGAUGGUGUGAUCAUAGAGGAACAUAGCAAGAUGUUAAAGCCAAGAUUCAAAUAAGGCAAGGAGGUGCCUUUAAACGUGAAUGAGCGCUAGCAUAUGAUCUUGCUCAAGAGGUAAUGAAUCCUUACAUUAGGGGUGUGAAUUUCUGACGCGACCUGAAAACACGACAUGAGCCUAACACGAAAUUCGCGGGUUUGGGUUUAGUCUAAACGGGUUCGGGUCAGUUUCAGGUUGAACCCGCCAACUCGUUUAGCUAAACAGGUCAGGUUCGGGUCAACCCGGUCGGGUUGGCGGGUUGACCCGUUUAACCCAUUUCUAUAAUAUUAUAUUUUUUACAAUAUGUUUUAUGUUAUAAAUUAAAUUUGGUGUGUAUUUUAUGCUAUACUUAUAACUUAAAAAUAUAAAUUGACAUAAGAUUUUACGAUUCUAAUGUAAUUUUAUUAUCUAAUUUGUGUUUUUUUAGUAGAUGUUAAUUUUAAUAUAUUAAUUUGCUGAAAAAAAAUUUGGGUUGAACGGGUCGGGUCGGGUUCGGGUCAGCCUGCGAAUAUUUGGGUCAGGUUCGGGUUCAUAUGUAUGAAACGAUUUUCGAGUUCAGGUCGGGUUUGUGUUCGUCUAAAAUUUUCGGGUUCCGGUCAGGGUUUUUCUUCGUUUAAUACUUUCUCGAGAUUCUGUAUUUUUUUAUUUUAAAGUCGGGAACAUGCAUUGAAGGAUCAAUGUUGUGAGAUUCCAGACAUUGUUUUACAGAUUUUAGAUCAAAUAACUGCUGCUUCAUUUCCUCCAACCUAAAUUAAAAAAAACCACAAACACCAAUUUUAGAACAUUUUACUCAAUAGGCUAUAGUAUUAUUAACAAGAAACUUGCAAAGGCUUUGGUUAGACCUGUCAUCCGUGUUCCUUUAAUGUCGUCUCUUGCAUUUUGGAUAACAUCUAUAGAUAUGUGCUUUAUAGUAGUCUAGGGGUUCACUGGUGUUCUACAGAAUUCUAGAAGAUUUGGAUCCAGAAAACCUGAAUUUCUACGUGUUGAAGGGCUUGGUGAAUUUUACAGGGACGAACUUCUUAAGAUCGACAGUGGGGACGGUGUAUGAUUACUGAUCGUGGACAUUUUGUUCUUUUCAACAUAUGCGUGCCUUGAGUCGAAUCCCAUCUGAUGAUGCAAAACGGCUUGAAUUCAAGCUCUCAUUCUACAAGAUACUGCAGGUGAAGGCACUAGCGACACAAAGAAGACCAGGUACCCGGAUGCAUGAAGAAAAAAAAUUUUGUGAUCUAUGUAUGAAUAGAAGACUAUGUUCGGACUUCUAUAAUUCUCUUAAUAUGUCACAUUGAGACACGUCAACAACUUUUAGUAUCAACUUCGUUACUAUAAGUGAAAUGUUCAAACCGAUAACAAUUCA